rnacentral:rRNA from 1 species
UACGGAGGGUGCAAGCGUUGUUCGGAAUUACUGGGCGUAAAGGGCGCGCAGGCGGCUCUGAAAGUCAGAUGUGAAAGCCCCGGGCUUAACCUGGGAAUUGCAUUUGAUACUCUGGAGCUUGAGUACGGGAGAGGAGAGUGGAAUUCCCAGUGUAGAGGUGAAAUUCGUAGAUAUUGGGAAGAACACCGGUGGCGAAGGCGGCUCUCUGGACCGUAACUGACGCUGAGGCGCGAAAGCGUGGGGAGCAAACAGG